UGAAGAUUACAGAGCCGAACUCACAAGAAAUCUGAGUGAGCCCGAUGUCAACUAUUCUGAGGUGCAUAAACUCGCAAUCUGGUUUAAAGGUAGUACCACAAGUAAUGCCUGUGGCCGGGUUGCCCUUGCCUGUCAAGAGCUCAUUGAUGCAAGUGAAGCACAGAACAAAGAAGGGUGCCUUGUGGCUCUUGACAAUGUCAACCGUGAAUAUCUCGUCGCCAAAGAGAAUUUGAAUCGCAUUAUUGGGGUAACAUUUAUUUUGAAUCUUUAAUUCCU